ACUCAAAUGAAUAGACGGGGGCUCACACCAGCGGUGGAGCAUGUGGCUUAAUUCGAGGCUACGCGAAGAACCUUAUCCCAGACUUGACAUGUGCGGAUUAGCCGCUGGAAACAGCGGUGACGCCCGCAAGGGUGGAACGCACACAGGUGCUGCAUGGCUGUCGUCAGCUCGUGUUGUGAGAUGUUGGGUUAAGUCCCUUAACGAGCGAAACCCUUGUCCUUAGUUACCAGCGGGUCAAGCCGGGCACUCUAAGGAGACUGCCGGUGUCAAGCCGGAGGAAGGCGGGGAUGACGUCAAGUCCUCAUGGCCCUUAUGUCUGGGGCUGCACACGUGCUACAAUGGGGGGUACAAAGGGAAGCUAGCCGGCAACGGCACGCCAAUCCCAAAAAGCCCCCCCCAGUUCGGAUCGCGGGCUGCAACCCGCCCGCGUGAAGUUGGAAUCGCUAGUAAUCGCGGGUCAGCCAUACCGCGGUGAAUGUGUUCCUGAGCCUUGUACACACCGCCCGU
rnacentral:rRNA from 1 species